rnacentral:rRNA from 1 species
CGCUGAGUUUGAUCCUGGCUCAGAUUGAACGCUGGCGGAAUGCUUUACACAUGCAAGUCGAACGGUAGAGGGGGCAACCCCUUGAGAGUGGCGAACGGGUGAGUAAUAUAUCGGAACGUGCCCAGUCGUGGGGGAUAACGUAGCGAAAGUUACGCUAAUACCGCAUACGAUCUAAGGAUGAAAGCGGGGGAUCGCAAGACCUCGCGCGAUUGGAGCGGCCGAUAUCAGAUUAGGUAGUUGGUGGGGUAAAGGCCCACCAAGGCGACGAUCUGUAGCUGGUCUGAGAGGACGACCAGCCACACUGGGGACUGAGACACGGCCCAGACUCCUACGGGAGCAGCAGUGGGGAAUUUUGGACAAUGGGCGCAAGCCUGAUCCAGCAAUGCCCGCGUGCAGGAAG